rnacentral:rRNA from 1 species
UACGUAGGGGGCAAGCGUUGUCCGGAAUGACUGGGCGUAAAGGGCGUGUAGGCGGCCGAUUAAGUCUGGAGUGAAAGUCCUGCUUUCAAGGUGGGAAUUGCUUUGGAGACUUGUUGGCUUGAGUGCGGAAGAGGCAAGUGGAAUUCCCAGUGUAGCGGUGGAAUGCGUAGAGAUUGGGAGGAACACCAGUGGCGAAGGCGACUUGCUGGGCCGUAACUGACGCUGAGGCGCGAAAGCGUGGGGAGCGAACAGG